GUUAGGAAUAUUGGACAAUGGGCGCAAGCCUGGUCCAGCCAUGUCGCGUGAGUGAUGAAGGCCUUCGGGUUGUAAAGCUCUUUAGCCGAUGAUUAUAAUGACUGUAGUCGGAAAAUAAGCCCCGGCUAACUUCGUGCCAGCAGCCGCGGUAAUACGAAGGGGGCGAGCGUUAUUCGGAAUCACUGGGCGUAAAGCGUGCGUAGGCGGCUUUGCAAGUUGGGAGUGAAAGCCCAGGGCUCAACCCUGGAAUUGCUCUCAAAACUGCAAGGCUCGAAUUCGGGAGAGGAUAGCGGAAUUGUCAGUGUAGCAGUGAAAUGCGUAGAUAUUGACAGGAACACCAGUGGCGUAAGCGGCUAUCUGGACCGAUAUUGACGCUGAGGCACGAAAGCGUGGGGAUCAAACAGGAUUAGAAACCCGUGUAGUCC
rnacentral:rRNA from 1 species